rnacentral:lncRNA from 1 species
CACGUUAGAAGUGUGUCCCAAUGUCAGAAGAUAAUUAGGUGUACACUUGAAAGGAAGGAACACGUGGCAGACAAAAAUUGGGUCCCACACUCAAGUGUGAAAAAGGGGUUUUGAACAAACUGACUGAAAAACUUUCUGCUUUGGACACCCUCGAUGGGAACAGAUUCCAAAUAUUGGGAAAUCUAUAUCACAAGAGAGGAAUGGGUUUGGGAUCCACAAAAGAUUAUAUUUCCUUGGACCCACCCAAGAUUUCAAAUUUUCCCAACUGGACCC